GUGAAUCAUCAAAUUUUUGAACGCAAAUUGCACUUUCUGGUAUUCCGGAAAGUAUGCCUGUUUGAGGUUCAGUUAAAUAAAAAUCGGUGUUGUCGUUGCCUUUCGCUGUGAAGUGUCUGCAUUUGGUCCUCUUACCCUCGGUUAAGUGACACAAAACCUCUGCAUGCUUUACGUAUGUAUUUAUAUCGCUUACGCUCGUUUCAGAUAUCCAAUGUACAUUAGGUUGGGUCAUUCCUAUGUUUUGUGCCUAUAAU
rnacentral:misc_RNA from 1 species